AUUGAACGCUGGCGGCAUACCUUACACAUGCAAGUCGAACGGCAGCACGGGAGCAAUCCUGGUGGCGAGUGGCGAACGGGUGAGUAAAGUAUCGGAACGUGCCCAGUCGUGGGGGAUAACGUAGCGAAAUUUACGCUAAUACCGCAUCCGAUCUACGGAUGAAAGCGGGGGAUCGAAAGACCUCGCGCGAUGGGAGCGGCCGAUAUCAGAUUAGGUAGUUGGUGGGGUAAAGGCUCACCAAGCCGACGAUCUGUAGCUGGUCUGAGAGGACGACCAGCCACACUGGAACUGAGACACGGCCCAGACUCCUACGGGAGGCAGCAGUGGGGAAUUUUGGACAAUGGGCGCAAGCCUGAUCCAGCCAUGCCGCGUGCAGGAUGAAGGCCUUCGGGUUGUAAACUGCUUUUGUACGGAACGAAAAGGUUUGGCCUAAUAAGCUGGACCCAUGACGGUACCGUAAGAAUAAACACCGGCUAACUACGUGCCAGCCGCCGCAGUAA
rnacentral:rRNA from 1 species